rnacentral:lncRNA from 1 species
UGAAGAUGAUAGAAUUGGUUAUAGCAAUAGGUAUGGUGUUGUUUGAAGAUGAUAGAAUUGGUUAUAGCAAAUAGGUGUUGGGUGGGGGGGGGUUUUUUUGAGAUGAUAAAUUGGUUAUAGCAAAGGUAUGGUGUUGUUUGAAGAUGAUAGAAUUGGUUCAUAGGUAUGGUAGGUAUGGUGGUUGUUUGAAAGAUGAUAGAAUUGGUUAUCGAGACAGGUAUGGUGUUGUUUGAAGAUUGAUAGAAUUGGUUAUUAGCAAUAGGUAUGGUGUUGUUUGAGAUGAUAGAAUUUGUAUGCAUAAUAGGUAUGGUGUUGUUUAAAGAUAUAGAAUUGUUAAGCAAUAGUAUGGUGUUGUUUGAGAUGUAGAAUUGGUUAUAGCAAUAGGUAUGGUGUUGUUAAGAUGUAGAUUGUUUAGCAUAGGUAUGGUGUUGUUUGAAGAUGAUAGAUUGGUUAUAGCAAUAGGUAUGGUGUUGUUUGAAGAUGAUAGAAUUGGUUAUAGCAAUAGGUAUGGUGUUGUUUGAAGAUGAUAGAAUUGGUAAUAGCAAUAGGUAUGGUGUUGUUUCUUUGUGAUUGGAAUGAUGUAAAAGUAUACUGGAUGAUAAAAUUGAUAUUCAAGAGGUGGAUUAUGUUGUUACUGAGAGUUUUAAUAAGACCUGGUUGUUUUGUUUCAGCAAGAAUUAAGUAGAGAUUAUGAGUUUACGUAUAGAAUGAUAUAAAUGAAGAUAAAAAUAACAGUUAUUAUGUGUGAUAAAACUUUUAACUCCA